GUGCUCGCUUUGGCAGUACAUAUACUAAAAUUGGAACGAUACAGAGAAGAUUAGCAUAGCCCCUGAGCAAGGAUAACACACAAAUGUAAAUUAUUGGUUUAUUUACUU